UACGUCGGGGGCGAGCGUUGCCCGAAUUUACUGGGCGUAAAGCGCACGUAGGCGGCUUCGUAAGUCUGGUGUGAAAUCUCACGGCUCAACCGGGAGGCUGCACCAGAUACUGCGAAGCUCGAGGACGGGAGAGGAGAUUGGAAUUCCCGGUGUAGCGGUGAAAUGCAUUGAUAUCGGGAGGAACACCAGUGGCGAAGGCGGAUCUCUGGCCCUUUGCUGACGCUGAGGUGCGAAAGCUGGGGGAGCGAAAGGG
rnacentral:rRNA from 1 species